AGUAAAAGUCGUAACAAGGUUUCCGUAGGUGAACCUGCGGAAGGAUCAUUAUUGAAUCAUAGUAGGUUGUGCUGGCUCUAUCUGAACAAGUGCACGCCUGCUCCAAAACAUUCAAACCUCUGUGCACUUUUCAUAGAAUAGCUUGUAAAUUGAGUGACUUGUGUCAUUUGGCUUGCAGCUACUCUGUGUCUUUUUAUAAACCUUUAUUAUCAGUUUAGAAUGUCUUUGUGUAAAUACACAUUUUUAUACAACUUUCGGCAACGGAUCUCUUGGCUCUCGCAUCGAUGAAGAACGCAGCGAAAUGCGAUAAGUAAUGUGAAUUGCAGAAUUCAGUGAAUCAUCGAAUCUUUGAACGCACCUUGCGCUCCUUGGUAUUCCGAGGAGCAUGCCUGUUUGAGUGUCAUGGUAUUCUCAAUUCCUUUGUUCUUGUUCGAACAAAGUGAUAUUGGACUUGGAGGCAUUUUGCUGGCGAUAACAAGUCAGCUCCUCUCAAAACUAUCAGCGUGAAGGGUCACCUUAUGCUCAGUGUGAUAAUUAUCUGCAUUGCGCUCGGUGCUACUUUUUCAGGCUUCGAAUCGUCUUCGGACAAUUUUAUUGACAUCUGACCUCAAAUCAGGUAGGACUACCCGCUGAACUUAAGCAUAUCAAUAAGCGGAGGA
rnacentral:rRNA from 1 species